GGGAAUCUACCCAUCUCUGCGGAAUAGCUCCGGGAAACUGGAAUUAAUACCGCAUACGCCCUACGGGGGAAAGAUUUAUCGGGGAUGGAUGAGCCCGCGUUGGAUUAGCUAGUUGGUGGGGUAAAGGCCUACCAAGGCGACGAUCCAUAGCUGGUCUGAGAGGAUGAUCAGCCACAUUGGGACUGAGACACGGCCCAAACUCCUACGGGAGGCAGCAGUGGGGAAUAUUGGACAAUGGGCGCAAGCCUGAUCCAGCCAUGCCGCGUGAGUGAUGAAGGCCUUAGGGUUGUAAAGCUCUUUCACCGAUGAAGAUAAUGACGGUAGUCGGAGAAGAAGCCCCGGCUAACUUCGUGCCAGCAGCCGCGGUAAUACGAAGGGGGCUAGCGUUGUUCGGAAUUACUGGGCGUAAAGCGCACGUAGGCGGAUAUUUAAGUCAGGGGUGAAAUCCCAGAGCUCAACUCUGGAACUGCCUUUGAUACUGGGUAUCUUGAGUAUGGAAGGGGUAAGUGGAAUUGCGAGU
rnacentral:rRNA from 1 species